UACACACAAAAGAUCCCAGUUCGAUUCAUGCUACUCUCGUUUUUUUGUGUUUUUUUUUUUUAAAUCUGAUUUUAAUAUUAGGCAUUCUAAUCCUUUCAAAGCAACUAAAAGAUAAUCAGAUCAUAAAGAGACCAAAAGACGCUCUGUAUUACCAUCCCUAUUCAAGAAACCCCUCCACCUUCCUCCGGCCUCCCUCCUCCGCCUCCGGCCUCCCACCGCCGGCUCCUCCUUUUUCCCCCCUCUCCGCCGCCCUAUCCCUAUCCGCCUCCACUGGCCAAAUUAUGCAAGAAUCAUUAAAAAGAAAGUUUCAUGUCUCAUCUUCUUCGAGUAAUAAUCGUAUGAGAAUUGAUUUGGAAGACCUUCCAUGGGAUCCCGCCGAACGAAAACCAAUAUUGUCUUAUGACGUUAACCAAAGAGAUGAAAUUAGACGGGCGUAUUUGAAUAAAGGUCCAUGUCAACCGCAAGGUCAUGUUUUUCCAAAACGAGAUAUUGGUGGUAGAAUGAGACAAUUUAAUCCCGAUUGGUUUAAGGAAUUUGGAUGUUGGUUAGAAUAUAGUGUAAAAUUGGAUGCCGUAUUUUGCUUGGUUUGCUACUUGUUCAAAGAAAAGAAAGUGGUCAAAAAGAUGCAUUUGUGACCGACGGAUACAAUGGUUGGAAUAAAAAAGAUAGAUUGGGUAUUCAUGUAGGUGGUAAGCCGAAUAGUUUUCACAACAAAGCACUUCAAAAAUGUGACGAUUUGCGUAAACCAAAACAAUCUAUUAGUAGUGCCUUUCAACCUAGCCAAAAACACAGAAUCGAGUAUAGAAUCCGAUUAAGCACAUCAGUUAUUCUUGCUAAAGCUUUAUUGAACGGUGCAUUACCGUUUCGCGGUCAUGAUGAGUCUGAGAGUUCAAGUUAUAAAGGACAUUUCUUGGAAUUUUUAAAACUAUUGGGAGAGUUGAACGAGUCCAUUGGUAAGGUUAUAUUAGGAAAUGCUCCGGGGAAUAACCAAAUGACGUCUCCAAAAAUUCAGAAAGAUAUUUGUAAUUGCUUUGCACAAGAAGUGUUAAAACAGAUUUUUGAAGAACUAGCCGAUGAUGUGUUUUCUAUAUUAGUUGAUGAGUCUCGUGAUAUAUCGAACGAGACCUUCUUGCCAAUGUUUCGGCCGACGAUGUAAUGGAUCGUUUUCAAAAGAUGAAAACUCGUCGGGAACAACUCUAAAAGUUUGUAAGCUUUUUUUUUUGUUUCCAAAGACAUAGUAUGUUUAUUAUGUGUUUUCUAAUGAGUAAUGGUUAUAUAAUUUUGUUAUGGUAUUA